rnacentral:tRNA from 1 species
GCGCCCGUAGCUUAACUGGAUAGAGCAUCUGACUUCGGAUCAGAGGGUUGGGGGUUCGAGUCCCUCCGGGCGUG